rnacentral:rRNA from 1 species
UACGGAGGGUGCAAGCGUUGUCCGGAUUUAUUGGGUUUAAAGGGUGCGUAGGCGGCCCUGUAAGUCAGUGGUGAAAUACUGCAGCUUAACUGUAGCAUUGCCAUUGAUACUGUAGGGCUUGAGUACAGAUGAGGUAGGCGGAAUUCCUGGUGUAGCGGUGAAAUGCGCAGAUAUCAGGAGGAACACCGGUGGCGAAGGCGGGUCUCUGGGCAAUAACUGACGCUGAGGAGCGAAAGCGUGGGGAGCGAACAGG